CCUGUUAGCGUCUAGUAGUCAAGACGAUACGCAGGUAUUAUUUUUCUGAACCUGCUGCGAUACGACAGAGAGAAAACGCAGAAUUUGGGCUUCGAACGUCAAGGUUUCAUGGGGUCAUGGAUGCUGGUUCUGUGUACCACAGUCACUCUGAAAUCUCAGCCCUGUUGUGCGGGACUGAUUGCAGUCGGAGUUGUAACAGCAAUAGCACUUGUGUCCGGACCAAUUUUCCUGAAGAUGCACAGAAAACAACAUAAACAUGUAUUUAUCCCUACUAAGUCCACAUAGAAGAUUUUAUUAUAUCUAUUUACAUGUUAAUAUACCUGUAAACAUUUUAAUUUGAUCAUUUUGUUUAUUCUAAACUGUUGAUUUAAUAAAGUUCAUGUUUUAUGUCAAAAGAAUGUGCUUGUGUUCAUUGGCUCGUUCUGUUCAUUUGGCCAAACUUGUACGUUGUUAAAAUGGAUCUUAAAGAUAUAAGCUGUUAUGUUUACAAAAAAAUGGAUAUCAUUGGUAUUAAUUUUCUCUGUACCUCAUUUGUUCCAAUUAAUCUGCUGUUUGAGUUUCUGCUAUUUUUGUUUUUGUUCAGAGAAUAAAAGUGUGCAAACUGAUCUUGAGCGUGGAGCGUGAUGGGAGGGUUUAGGGAAGUUCUGCUUGUUUGAGCAGAGAAUAGUGGCAUUAUUCCACAGGAAAAGGAAACAGCUCAGUUUGCAAACCCGGUCACACCUAAAGACCUUUGGUUCUGUGAACUCUGUGUUCAGACCAGUGCUGUAGAGACACAAACAACAUGUUUAAUGUGGGAGCUUCGCUCUAGUGUUUUUCAGGGUACAUGCGUCUCUUUCAGAAUCUUAUGAGAGGUGAACCUGUUGCGAUACGACAGAGAAAACACGGAAUUUAGGCUUCGAAAGUCAAGGUGUCAUGGGGUCAUGGAUGCUGGUUCUGUGUACCACAGUCACUCUGAUGCCUGUGUGUCUUCAUGGAGCAAUAUCAGUCCGCUUUAAGACCGGACGGCCUCUCUAUGUGGCACUCGGCCGAACUCUUGUUUUGGAAGUCGAAUUCAAGAAGGACUCGGACGACAAAAUAGACAUUGG